rnacentral:lncRNA from 1 species
AAGCAAGAACAAAGGAAGAAAAAAAGAAGAACAAAACCCUAGGUCAAAAAAUUCAAGGGAAAAGUGUGAAAAUUCAAGGAAACAGGUGAAAAAAGGGUAAAAUUUUUCAAUUAAGCUUGAGAUCUCUCUUUCUUAAGCAUUUUUUCUUAUUUUUCAUGGUUGAAUCACAUGAUUUCAUGAUGAAUCCCAUGUUGGCCAAACACUUAGACGGAGGUUUUGAUGCUUGAUUUGGUUAGAUUUCAAUGUAUUUUAGUGCUUUUAGUUAGUUAGUGAUGUGUACCAUGAAAAGCCAACAAGAAAUAUUCAUUUUCUCCCAUCACCCAUCAUUGGCCGAAUUCUCCAUGUAGAAUAUUGAUGAUGAUUUUGAUUUUGUUUCAAGUGAUUUGGUUAGGAAUUAGUGAUUUAUGGUGUGAGAAUCAAGUAGGAAAAAUCAUAGUGUUGAUGCACUCACCAUGGCCGAAAUUCUCAAGAAGAAAUGUGAGGAUGAUUUUGCUAAAUUUUAUGUUAUUUGACUUGUGUUUGGUGAUUUGAAGUAUUGGGAGAAAAAUGGAAUUAUUGGAGUUAAAUUGGACAUAUUGGCCAAUUAAUCUAGUGAUAGAUCGAAUUAGGCCAAUACCGUUUUAUUUAGGUACACAAUUGAAUUUGUGUAGAGCACCGUGUUUAGACGAUAAUCCGAACAAUUUACAUCCCAUUUCAUGCAUUAGUAUAAAUCUUGAAUUGGUUUUUUAACAAUUUAGCACAAAUGUAGUAAAUGGCUUAUUGUGCAUUAUGUCUAGGUGGUGAGCAUUCUGGCAAAAGUAAAGAGAUAGUACUCGAGGAUCAAGAAUCGGAGUACUCAGAAUUUGACUCCCGAAAUAGUGAGUAACCUUACUAUCGUCUUAAUUAUCUAAAGUAGUUUUUAUUCGUUUUUGUGAAUUUUAUGGAAAAUGAGUUUAAAUGGUAAAUUUUUAUGUUUUAUAAACAAAAUGUGAUUAAAUUAAAUGAUUUUAUAAAAUUGUCUUGAAAUUGAAUGAUGGUUUUGAAAAUGCAAUAAUUGGAGACUAAUUGCUGUGUUGUAAAUUAUGGUUUGAAUUGAAUGGCUUAUGAUAAUGUGGGCAUGAAUGGUUUGAUUUGGUAAAUGUGUUGAAAAUGUAUGAACUAUUGAUUUGCCUUGGGAGGCUGUAAAAUAAAAUAAUUGCCAUGUCAUGCUAUUGAAAAUUUUAUUGAAUUGAUGGGUUAUAUAUUGGUCGCUGUAGUGGACGGGUUUUGUGGACCAGUCUAUUAGAGGGGCAUGGUAACCUUAUUAUAUUCUUACCUCAGUAUGAGAGGCGCGGAUGGAUAACUCUUGAGGUUAACACUUUAGAGUUCUCUUCACGCCAAACCACCACGUGAGGGUGAACUCUGCCAACGCUAAGGAACGGCUAUGUUUUCAAAAUAAAAACAUGAUUUAUGAGUACAUGACUUUUAAUAGCCUUGACGAACUCGGUUGGGAUAGCCCUCGGUCAAGGUAUCCCUGAUAACUGAGUAUGAUAAUGAUUUUGGCACGAGCCAAACUUUUCAAGAAAUCAUAAGCCUCGUUGUUUAUUUUGGUGAAAUGAAUCUAUUUUAUCUUAUUAAAAUGAGUUCGAAAUGCUGAGAAUCAUUUUUAUGCUAAUCUAUUUUAUCUGUCUCUAUUUACUCAGCUUUAGAUAUUUUAGAUGGUAUUUGUUUACUCAUUGGGAUUAUAUAAUCUCACCACCCUCCUUUCCACCCAUUCAAGGCUCAGGAUAGUUGGUAGAUAGCUCACUUUGUUGAGGUCUACAGUUAGACUUACAUCCUCAAAAACUAUAGGUUUACCGCUUUUGAUACUUUUGGUUGUUCGUGGGCCCACAUGUCACUGUAAAUUAAAUUUUAU